CCUACGGGGGGCAGCAGUGGGGGAUAUUGCACAAUGGAGGAAACUCUGAUGCAGCAACGCCGCGUGAGGGAAGAAGGUCUUCGGAUUGUAAACCUCUGUCCUCAGGGACGAUAAUGACGGUACCUGAGGAGGAAGCUCCGGCUAACUACGUGCCAGCAGCCGCGGUAAUACGUAGGGAGCAAGCGUUGUCCGGUUUUACUGGUUGUAAAGGGUGCGUAGGCGGCCCUGCAAGUCAGGUGUGACAACUAUGGGCUUAACUCAUAGAUUGCACUUGAAACUGUGGGGCUUGAGUGAAGGAGAGGCAGGCGGAAUUGCCGGUUUAGCGGGUUAAUGCGUAGAUAACGGGAAGAACACCAGUGGCGAAGGCGGCUUGCUGGGCUUUAACUGACGCUGGGGCACUAAAGCGUGGGUAGAGAACAGGAUUAGAUACCCGAGUAGUC
rnacentral:rRNA from 1 species